AUCUGAGCUCAGUGGUAGAGCAUCGCUUUCUUAACUCAAAGGUCGUGGGUUCGAUCCCCGGCUUCCCCGGAUU